GAUCACGGGGUUCGGGGCCUGUUCCCGAGGAAGCAGUGUAUUCUUCGUGUCGUGAAAGGAAAAGGAGGAUUCUGCUAGUCCGUGAUACACACACCAGUCUUUGCUAUCUCGGGGAACCAAAAGUCCCUACUAAAGAUGGUCAGCAUUACCUCUGUCCGAUGCUUCCAGUUUCCUGGUAAUGGAGGAGCCCACUGAUACCACCUUCUGGACCAGUCCUCAUAUCCAUCUCAUUAUUGCCCUGGAACCAGCUACAUCAAUGGUCCCGCCAGUAUGCUAUGGCAGCUGUGCUGUACUUUUCACAGAUGUGCCAACAUGUGGUGCAGAACAAGCAUUCUAAAUAACCAAUGCACAAGGUAGAGGAACAAAAACGCUGGGUCUGUUCCCUUUGAUGGUCUUUGUUAUAGAUAACAACAAACUUUUACAGGCUUGCCUUGCAGGGGAAUUUAUUGGACAUCAACAAAGGGAUUCAACUGAAACGCCAUUACGUGUCAGACAGGUGUUGCUGCGUCUGCAAUAUCAAUCAUUGUCUGUAGUGUGCUGCCGUGUUAAACAUCACUAAAGGUUCUGUCUGGAGAACAAAG